CAGCCGCCACGGGAAUACAGAGGGUGCGAGCGUUAAUCGGAUUUACUGGGCGUAAAGCGUGCGUAGGCGGCUUCUUAAGUCGGAUGUGAAAUCCCUGAGCUUAACUUAGGAAUUGCAUUCGAUACUGGGAAGCUAGAGUAUGGGAGAGGAUGGUAGAAUUCCAGGUGUAGCGGUGAAAUGCGUAGAGAUCUGGAGGAAUACCGAUGGCGAAGGCAGCCAUCUGGCCUAAUACUGACGCUGAGGUACGAAAGCAUGGGGAGCAAACAGGAUUAGAUACCGAGUAGUCCCUGUCUCUUAUACA
rnacentral:rRNA from 1 species